GUGGCGAACGGGUGAGUAACACGUGAGCAACCUGCCCGACAAACCGGGAUAACAGCGGGAAACUGCUGCUAAUACCGGAUACACCAGGUAUGGCGCAUGCUGUAUCUGGGAAAGGGUUUACCGAUGUCGGAUGGGCUCGCGUCCCAUUAGCUAGUUGGUGAGGUAACGGCUCACCAAGGCGACGAUGGGUAGCUGGUCUGAGAGGACGAUCAGCCACACUGGAACUGAGACACGGCCCAGACUCCUACGGGAGGCAGCAGUGGGGAAUCUUGCACAAUGGGCGAAAGCCUGAUGCAGCGACGCCGCGUGGAGGAUGAAGGCCUUCGGGUCGUAAACUCCUGUCUGGGGGGAUGAACACUGACAGUACCCCCGGAGGAAGCCCCGGCUAACUACGUGCCAGCAGCCGCGGUAAUACGUAGGGGGCGAGCGUUGUCCGGAAUUACUGGGCGUAAAGCGCGCGCAGGCGGCCUAUUAAGUCAGGUGUUAAAAUGCGGA
rnacentral:rRNA from 1 species